rnacentral:rRNA from 1 species
GACGCAUUCCGGGACGGCGAGGCCGUUAUCACGGGCGGCCCAUUCACGCUUCCACAAUGCCUGUUCAGCGGUCUGAAUCAGGGACGCCAGCAGUUCAGCAGGGACGGACACCUGGCGGUUUUCGCUCACGUAUUUGAUAAUCUCCAUCGCCGUACCGGAAGAAACACCGGAUUCAGUCCGCUGGUCUUCCGGGAUGUCCUCCAGGCGCGCCAGGACAGUCCUGAUUUCAUGAUCGGUCAGGGCAAUAUCCAUUCCGUCAGCGAGGGCCUGAAUUUCUUCCGAGGACCAGAUAACCAGCAUCAGUGGCGUGUCUCCCGGAUACUUUGCU